rnacentral:rRNA from 1 species
GAUGAACGCUGGCGGCGUGCCUAAUACAUGCAAGUCGAGCGAACAGACGAGGAGCUUGCUCCUCUGACGUUAGCGGCGGACGGGUGAGUAACACGUGGAUAACCUACCUAUAAGACUGGGAUAACUUCGGGAGACCGGAGCUAAUACCGGAUAAUAUAUUGAACCGCAUGGUUCAAUAGUGAAAGACGGAUUUGCUAUCACUUAUAGAUGGAUCCGCGCCGCAUGAGCUAGUUGGUAAGGUAACGGCUUACCAAGGCAACGAUGCGUAGCCGACCUGAGAGGGUGAUCGGCCACACUGGCACUGAGACACGGUCCAGACUCCUACGGGAGGCAGCAGUAGGGAAUCUUCCGCAAUGGGGGAAAGCUUGACGGAGCAACGCCGCGUGAGUGAUGAAGGUCUUCGGAUCGUAAAACUCUGUUAUUAGGGAAGAACAAAUGUGUAAGUAACUAUGCACGUCUUGACGGUACCUAAUCAGAAAGCCACGGCUAACUACGUG